AGGCCUAGUACAUGCAAGUCGGACGGGAUUGGGGAGCUUGCUCCCCAUGAGAGUGGCGCACGGGUGCGUAACACGUAUGUAACCUACCCAUAUCAGGGGGAUAGCCUCUCGAAAGAGAGAUUAAGCCCGCAUAAAAUCACAAGGUGGCAUCACCAAAUGAUCAAAUAUUUAUAGGAUAUGGAUGGGCAUGCGGAACAUUAGCUAGUUGGUAAGGUAACGGCUUACCAAGGCUACGAUGUUUAGGGGAUCUGAGAGGAUGACCCCCCACACUGGUACUGAGACACGGACCAGACUCCUACGGGAGGCAGCAGUAAGGAAUAUUGGUCAAUGGGCGCAAGCCUGAACCAGCCAUGCCGCGUGCAGGAAGACGGCCCUACGGGUUGUAAACUGCUUUUAUACGGGAAUAAACCUCACUACGUGUAGUGAGCUGAAUGUACUGUAAGAAUAAGGAUCGGCUAACUCCGUGCCAGCAGCCGCGGUAAUACGGAGGAUCCGAGCGUUAUCCGGAUUUAUUGGGUUUAAAGGGUGCGUAGGCGGCCUAUUAAGUCAGGGGUGAAAGACGGUAGCUUAACUAUCGCAGUGCCUUUGAUACUGAUAGGCUUGAAUAUACUUGAGGUAGGCGGAAUGUGACAAGUAGCGGUGAAAUGCAUAGAUAUGUCACAGAACACCAAUUGCGAAGGCAGCUUACUAAAGUAUGAUUGACGCUGAGGCACGAAAGCGUGGGGAUCAAACAGGAUUAGAUACCCUGGUAGUCC
rnacentral:rRNA from 1 species